rnacentral:rRNA from 1 species
CUCCCAGACUCCUACGGGAGGCAGCAGUGGGGGAUAUUGCACAAUGGGGGGAACCCUGAUGCAGCGACGCCGCGUGAACGAAGAAAUAUUUCGGUAUGUAAAGUUCUAUCAGCAGGGAAGAAAAUGACAGUACCUGACCAAGAAGCCCCGGCUAACUACGUGCCAGCAGCCGCGGUAAUACGUAGGGGGCAAGCGUUAUCCGGAUUUACUGGGUGUAAAGGGAGCGUAGACGGCAGUGCAAGUCUGGAGUGAAAGGCGGGGGCUCAACCCCCGGACUGCUCUGGAAACUGUACGGCUGGAGUGCAGGAGAGGUAAGUGGAAUUCCUAGUGUAGCGGUGAAAUGCGUAGAUAUUAGGAGGAACACCAGUGGCGAAGGCGGCUUACUGGACUGUAACUGACGUUGAGGCUCGAAAGCGUGGGGAGCAAACAGGAUUAGAUACCCCAGUA